rnacentral:rRNA from 1 species
AACGAACGCUGGCGGCAUGCCUAACACAUGCAAGUCGAACGAGACCUUCGGGUCUAGUGGCGCACGGGUGCGUAACGCGUGGGAACCUGCCCUUAGGUUCGGAAUAACAGUGAGAAAUCG